UACGUAGGUGGCAAGCGUUGUUCGGAAUUAUUGGGCGUAAAGGGCGCGUAGGCGGCUUGACAAGUCAAAGGUGAAAUCCCUCGGCUCAACUGAGGAACUGCCUUUGAAACUGUCUGGCUUGAGGCCGGGAGGGGGUAGCGGAAUUCCCAGUGUAGCGGUGAAAUGCGUAGAUAUCUGGAGGAACACCGGUGGCGAAGGCGGCAUCCUGGACCAACACUGACGCUGAGGAGCGAAAGCCAGGGGAGCAAACGGG
rnacentral:rRNA from 1 species